rnacentral:lncRNA from 1 species
ACCUGAGGGUGCUGUUCUCGGGAUGGCUUCACCCAGCGAGGAGGCAGACGGCGUCCAUUCUAUACGCAGUCGAUGUGGUACACUGAGUCAACGGUUUGUAGGGUGGAUAUUGAUGCAUGCAUGUCCAGUAUAUCAGCAUAAUCAAUCACAGACAGAAAUGGAGCCUCCACAAGUUUGAUUAUUGGCAAUGGAAAGUACAUAUCUAAAAUAAAAGCUCCACUUUAGCUUUUUAAAAAGAGUCAUAACAUACAUUAAAUGAGGGUUUUUUGUUUAUCAAAAUAUACAAGUAGUUGUUCAAGGUCACAUUUCAAGGGUUUUCCAUCUGGAAAAGAUGCAAAGAAAAGAAGGAGGGGUGAAAAUAUGAAGCAUGUCAAAGGAUUUAUGCUGUGUUCCAUUUGUGCUUGGAUUUUCCGAGUUCCCAUUCAGAAAUUCACCUGGAACGCCCCCCUGAAGUUGAAUUUCUGACUUGUAAAGUCAGAUGAUCCUCACCAACCCCAACUUGAUGACAACUUCAUAAUCCAAGAUGGCAGCACAGUGCCUCAACAGUAAAGAGUAACAGUGAAAGCUCUCGUAAUGUAUUAUUUAUUAGCACUUCCGUUUUGUUUUAGUGAAAUUAAAUAAAUGGUAUAUGUUGCACUGCCCAAUGUCUAACUUUGAACAAGGUUCUAUAGUGUUUCUAAAAGGUCCUUUCACACUGGGACCAUUUUUGUCGUGCGAUUAUUUCAGACGUCAAUAUUUUUUUAUAACCCGUAUCCUGUCAAUACAAGCGUUCACAUCAGCUUCUGACCAAUCAGAUUUUCGUGCUGUUGCGACGUCAGCUUCACCAGUAUAUCCAACAUGGCAGAACAGAGUGCUUUUUGAUAAAAGACACAAAAUUUUGCAAAGAUAACAACCUGAAGGACAACUUGUGGAGGGUCAUAGCAUUUGAUUUCUCACAUGACAACGUUUUGUGUGCUUUAUCAGUUUGCUAAACGUCUCUGUUUUAACUUUCAUCUGUGCUAAGUAACUUUAGCUCGUAAGCUAACCUGUUCAGAUACAACAUACCAUAUGUAUUUUCACUGUCUCAAACUCAAUCACAUUGCUGUCACAGCACCAUUAGGUCUCAGUUGUUACCUUACGUUUAUGGAUUAUAGUUUAAUGUGCUUAUCUGGUACUGGCCCUGACUCAGUACAUGCUAUCAUGACAGACAGACAUCUCAACACUAGUGUCUAAUCAGAACUGAAAAACAGUCAGUCUGCUGUUGUGUCAGUCUUCUCGCUUCCACCCAGGACGCGUCUUUUUCCCCCCGGAAAGUUGCAAAAUCGCAUUGUGCUUAAUGUGUAUAGUCAGGCGCGUCAAAAUUUGCCUCUGAAUAUUUCGUAAUUUCGUUUUUUAUAUUCGCAUUGGCCCCCGUGUGUAAGGACCUUAAGAGUAAAAUACUGUGUUAUGCAACUGAUAUUGCUAACAACAGCUAAAAGCAGCUAACAACGGCUAAACAUUAUAACAGCAGGUGCCUAUCUUGGUUUCCAGACUUGUUUUCCGGAACGCCAUCAACUCCGUUAAAACCAGCUACAAAAGAGAGGCCAAUCCAAACCCUAUCAGCUGUAAUAACAACAACAACAACCAAAGAGAAAGAGCUGAUUUUAAGGCCCUGAAGUAAAACACCCUCAUUCUGCCAAAAACCACUCACUGGUCCUAUAGCUGCUUUGUGUUGCCUACUUACACACUCACCCUGAUGCUGCUGCAUUGAGGCUGAGAGAGGCACAAAAACACCUCACCUCAAAUUCAGAGUGCAAAAGAGUUAAAAGGACCACGCAAAACAUCUCAUGCCACAGCGCUGUUUGAGUGUAAAUGAGCCAUCUUACAAUCAAUCCGGCCCCCUUGUCUGCAAAUGAACCUCAUUGCUUUAAGAAUAGUGUGCUGCUUCUGCGUGAUUUCCGCAGGGUGGAAGCUUUCAUACAAACCGUUCAAUUUGAAUCAUGAAUAGAUGUAAACAGCAGGGGCCCACUCACUCUGUAAUCACGUUUCAGGUUCACUCAUAAGGCAGGAGGUUUCCUGCAUCCAUAAACACUCUGGAUCUGAAUAGUUGAAUUAGAUUCCAUCGCAGAAACUCAAGGCUGCAGAGUGCAUUCAUGUACAGUAAGAAAGCUCUGGAUGUGUUGGACAAAAACAGCAAUAAAGUCAAGUUAGGAAGUCCAACAUUAUAAAGUAUCUGCAGCUCUAAGCUUCUUAUUUAUUCAUAGCCACUCAAUAAAUCCACAGCACUGCAACCGGAGACCGUAAGAGUCAUUUCUUUAAACUCUAUUUUAAAUCUGUUUACUCUCUUUGUGCUCUCACAAUGGAAAACUAAAAGAUCUACAAACUGCUGACCGUGACGUUGGCACACCAUGCUGCCUCAGCAACUCACAAACAAACAUCAGCAGGGAAAGCAUCACAAAUGGCUGCUGAAGAAAGCAAAGGGUACAAAUUAAGUGGACGAUGCAUGACACUGAGGUGUAGAAGUUAAAUAAAGGUCUUAACCUGACCUCUGUGUGUGUGUUUUGUGAUGAUAGCGGACGUCAAACGAUGAGUAAAUCAGCUACAAAGCUUUAAAAUUUCCCAUGGAUUAAAGGGUCAUUUCAAAAAGCUCAGUGAGUCUCUGUUUUUUCAUCAUUUCCACAGAACCGUGCUGAAAGUGUUUUCAACACAGCUAUCAUCAUAAGAUUAAACUUGUUUUCCUCUUUCAUCAGAAUCCUCCUCUUUCUGUUGAGACAAAUUGGUGAUUGCUCUCUUAACAGCAUUAAUCAUGCAUUAAUGUCAUUUACUCUCUCAGGUGCCGCAGGACUGAAUCCUCUUCUGCUGAACCGUAUUUAUAAUCAAGGACUCAUGAAUACGCAGAGGACCUUCUGAUUUACCUCUGAAGAUGUAAACAAGUAUAAUUAAGGCUGUGAUUAUCAACUUUAGACGAAUUAAUUACUUUUGAUGUGUGAGCGUCUCCAGGAGCUCCCCUCCAUUUAAAGAAACUCAACGCGGCUGCAUUCAAGAGUCUCACUUCAGAGUUCAGCUUAGAAAGCAGGGACGUGAUGAAGAGAUGCUUAGCUGCACAAAAUCAAACUGGGGAUCAUCUGUCAUCUGUCCUUGAAUGAUGAAAAAAUCUUGUCACAACGCGGGGUUAAAAAAUGGAAAAAGGACUCAAAAAUGCAGACUAAAAAAAAAAAGAUUUAUUGAAAAGAACUAAAUGAAAAGCAACAAAAACGUAUUUCAGAGGUCCAACUGAGAAAUCCCAAAGGCAAAAUCAAACAAAAAGCACAGGGGGAAAAAAAACUAGGGAUUCACACAUCGAGGAACAUGGUGAACUGACAGACAUAACAUACAAACACACAAUGAAGCAACAAAGACAGAGGGUAAGACAGGGACUAUAUACACACACAGGCAAACGAGCAACAGGUGAGGCUAACGAGACACAGGUGAAACUCAUGAGUGAUUAACAAAGGAGGGAAAACUAGGGAAGUAAAACCUGACUAGAAACCCAAGGAAUCAACUACUACAAAAUAAAACAGAAAAUAAACACCGAAAACUUAUCCAAAGAAUAAAGGUCCUUGCGUACCGGGAACGAUGUAUAUAUAUGACGUGAAAUUACGAAAUAUUCAGAGGCAAAUUUCGAUGCGCCUGACUAUACACAUCAAGCGCGAUGUGAUUUUGUGACUUUCCGGGGGGAAAAAAGAUGCAUCCAAGAUGGAAGUGAGAAGACUGACACAACAGCAGACUGACUGUUUUUCAGUUCUGAUUAGACUCUAGUGUUGAGAUGUCUGUCUGUCAUGAUAGCAUGUACUGAGUCGGGGCCAGUACCAGAUAAGCUCAUUAAACUAUAAUCCAUAAACGUAAGGUAACAACCGAGACCUAAUGGUGCUGUGACAGCAACAUGACUGAGUUUGAGACAGUGAAAAUACAUAUGGUAUGUUGUAUCUGAACAGGUUAGCUUAUGAGCUAAAGUUACUUAGCACAGAUGAAAGUUAAAACAAAGACGUUUAGCAAACUGUUAAAGCACACAAACCAUAGUCAUAUGAGAAGUCCGACACUAUGACUCUCCACAAGUUGUCCUUCAGGUCGUUAUCUUUGUAAUAUUUGUGUCUUUUAUCAAAAAGCUCUCUGUUCUCUGACACGUAAACGAUCAGCCAGUCGGCCAUGUUGGAUAUACCAGGGAAUGAGACGUCGCCACAACACACAAUCUGAAUGAUCAGAAGUGGACACACAGUAUCCGAAACUUUUGAAAAAUCGACGGUGAAACGAAAAAAUAAAUGCCGCAAUAUCACAGGACAGGAAAACGUCACUGAUGUGAACGUUUGUAUUGACAGGAUACAGGUUCGAAAAAAAUAUUGACGUCCAAAAUUAAUGCAGGAAAAAAAACUCUCCUGGUAUGUAAGGAUCUUUAGAGCCAGAAAUUGAGCAAAUUAUAUUUUAAAGGGUGUUUUGAUAAAAAAAAUAUAAUAAUAAUAAUAACACAGAUAUAUUAAUCUAUGAAUUCAAUUUCUGUGUUGUAAUCUCAUUGGCAGAGCGGGGCACCCUGCCAAAAACACCAUUGGGAAAACACUAAAAAUGCACUUUAAUUAAACCAGAAGAAAACUAAAUUAACAAAACAUAUCAAAAAGACUUUACAGCCAUGCCAGGAUUUGCACUUUUCAGGAGAUCCACUUUGGUUAUUUCUCAGUUUCGUGUUUUGAAACUAUCUUGCUGUAAACUUUUUUGAUUCGGUGGCCUGCUGACAUCGGCCUGAUAAGUUGCAUAUGUAUGUUUAGCUUUGACUCAAAGUACCACGGUGACAUUUUGAGUCUGUUUGACAGUAAGUGCAUUCCACAUAUGACUUGUCAACUCAGAGUUUUUGAAAGAUUGCCAUUCAGCGGUGUGGCGGGAUUAUUUUACAUCACAGCGGUGGCAGAAGCAGCUGCUAUAAAUACAAUUAAGACAAUUGAGACUUUAAGUGUUAAAGCAUGAAUCACCACUGGAUACCCGGACAGAUUUCCAUCCUGUAGGAUUUCAUUAUAGCCUGAAGAUUAUUAUUAUUUUUUUCCUCUUAGAUCUUGUCUUGAAACCAUGUACGUCAAAUGUUGAUAUGCAGCAUAAGUUGAUAAAUCUGCAGUUAUCCUCCUGAUAAUUCGUCAAAAGAUCAAGUCAAAGAAAAAAGUUUUGGUUGAUGUUACAAAAAGUAAUUUUUCUCAGACUAUCCUGAUUGUUUCUUGACUCAAAUUCCCUCUGGCUUUAGUCUGCACCUCUCUUCUCUGGUUGCACAGGUUUUAGAUGAAUGCUGGGUAAUUUCUUGCUUCCCAGUUUAAUGAAAACACUAUUUGUUUUGCUUCAUUCAGUUGCUCAGUGGCUUCAGUGCAAGUCAGUGGGUGCAGAAGUGCUGGGAGCUCCCUCUCCAGAUGGCGGCUGUGUGUGGCCCCCUGAUGAACAUGGCGCCCACGCAGGGCCCUCAG